rnacentral:rRNA from 1 species
CCUACGGGCGGCAGCAGUAGGGAAUCUUUCACAAUGGGCGAAAGCCUGAUGGAGCGACGCCGCGUGCAGGAUGAAGGCCUUCGGGUCGUAAACUGCUUUUAUAAGCGAGAAAUAUGAUGGUAACUUAUGAAUAAGGAUCGGCUAACUACGUGCCAGCAGCCGCGGUCAUACGUAGGAUCCGAGCAUUAUCCGGAGUGACUGGGUGUAAAGAGUUGCGUAGGUGGGAUAAUAAGUAGCUAGUGAAAUCUGGUGGCUCAACCAUUCAGACUAUUAGCUAAACUGUUAAGCUCGAGAACGUUAGGGGUAACUGGAAUUUCUAGUGUAGGAGUGAAAUGCGUAGAUAUUAGAAGGAACACCAAUAGCGUAGGCAGGUUGCUGGGACGGUUCUGACACUGAGGCACGAAAGCGUAGGGAGCAAACGGGAUUAGAUACCCCAGUAGUC